rnacentral:rRNA from 1 species
UUCGCAAUGCCCGAAAGGGUGAACGAGCGACGCCGCGUGCGGGAUGAAGGGCUUCGGCUUGUAAACCGCUUUUCUUUGGGAAGAAUGCCUGUAUCGUGAAUAUGGGAGGGACGGUACCAGAGGAAUAAGCCCCGGCUAACUCCGUGCCAGCAGCCGCGGUAAGACGGAGGGGGCGAGCGUUGUUCGGAAUUAUUGGGCGUAAAGGGCGCGUAGGCGGGCCAUCAAGUCAGAGGUGAAAUCCCCCGGCUCAACCGGGGAACUGCCUUUGAUACUGGUGGUCUGGAGUAAGGUAGGGGCAUGCGGAACUGAUGGUGGAGCGGUGAAAUGUGUUGAUAUCAUCAGGAACUCCGGUGGCGAAAGCGGCAUGCUGGACCUUCACUGACGCUGAGGCGCGAAAGCCAGGGGAGCAGACGGGAUUAGAUACCCCGGUAGUCCUGGCCCUAAACGAUGGGCACUAAGUAGAGGGGUUUU